rnacentral:rRNA from 1 species
UAGCAGUCGAGCGGACAGAUGGGAGCUUGCUCCCUGAUGUUAGCGGCGGACGGGUGAGUAACACGUGGGUAACCUGCCUGUAAGACUGGGAUAACUCCGGGAAACCGGGGCUAAUACCGGAUGGUUGUUUGAACCGCAUGGUUCAGACAUAAAAGGUGGCUUCGGCUACCACUUACAGAUGGACCCGCGGCGCAUUAGCUAGUUGGUGAGGUAACGGCUCACCAAGGCGACGAUGCGUAGCCGACCUGAGAGGGUGAUCGGCCACACUGGGACUGAGACACGGCCCAGACUCCUACGGGAGGCAGCAGUAGGGAAUCUUCCGCAAUGGACGAAAGUCUGACGGAGCAACGCCGCGUGAGUGAUGAAGGUUUUCGGAUCGUAAAGCUCUGUUGUUAGGGAAGAACAAGUGCCGUUCAAAUAGGGCGGCACCUUGACGGUACCUAACCAGAAAGCCACGGCUAACUACGUGCCAGCAGCCGCGGUAAUACGUAGGUGGCAAGCGUUGUCCGGAAUUAUUGGGCGUAAAGGGCUCGCAGGCGGUUUCUUAAGUCUGAUGUGAAAGCCCCCGGCUCAACCGGGGAGGGUCAUUGGAAACUGGGGAACUUGAGUGCAGAAGAGGAGAGUGGAAUUCCACGUGUAGCGGUGAAAUGCGUAGAGAUGUGGGAGGAACACCAGUGGCGAAAGCGACUCUCUGGUCUGUAACUGACGCUGAGAGCGAAAGCGUGGGGAGCGAACAGAUUAGAUACCCUGGUAGUCCACGCCGUAAACGAUGAGUGCUAAGUGUAGGGGGUUUCCGCCCCUUAGUGCUGCAGCUAACGCAUCAGCACUCGCUGGGGAGUACGUCGCAGACUGAACUCAAUGAAUGACUGAGCCCGCACAGCAGUGAUGCAUGUGAUUUAUCGAGCACGCGA